rnacentral:rRNA from 1 species
AACACGGACCAAGGAGUCUAACAUGUGCGCGAGUCACACGGUCUUGUUUAGGCCAGAGAGGCGUAAUGAAAGUAAUAUAUAAAUAAUGGUUACGAUCCCAAUAGUAAAUCGCUACUGUUAAAAAGGUGGCGACUAUUGGGCGCAGUAACGGCCUGUCAAUUUCGCCUAUUGACGAUUUGGCAGAGUUAUAGCGUACACGUUGGUACCCGAAAGAUGGUGAACUAUGCCUGGGCAAGACGAAGCCAGAGGAAACUCUGGUGGAGGUCUGUAGCGAUUCUGACGUGCAAAUCGAUCGUCCGACCUGGGUAUAGGGGCGAAAGACUAAUCGAACCAUCUAGUAGCUGGUUCCUUCC